GAUCUAAGAAGUCAAUGAGAGGAAAAAAGAAAAUCAAAGUGGAGCAAUGCCCAGUGGGGAUUACAAAGGAACUGGAGAAUUGCUCUGCUUCCCACAAUGAUCCCUCCAAGGAGAGUUAGCAGCUGGGCAGGAUGGAGCAACUGCAGACUGAAAGAGAGGGCUCAGAGACCUCAGAAUCCCACCCACACUGGGAGAGUGAAUCCUUCUGUCACGUUGGGGCAGGCAGUAAGGAAUUCAUUUAUGAGCACAGCACCCUGAAACUCCUCACUCAGUGCCACAGGAGAGGCUGGGCAAGGAUGAGCCGUGCAGGUGACACCUGGAGCAGCCAGCUCACUGCUGCUGGAGCCCCAGAGUCUGUGACCCCAGAGCAGACCCUCAGACUGGAUCUAGAAGAGGAGAUGUCUCUUUGUAACCUCACCCUGCAUCACAACCAUGCUCUUCUCUGGGAUUUCACAUUUGGAGAAUGGACUACCAGACCCCUCUCCUCAUGAAGGAUGUCCCGGUGGCUGGCUGAGGGGUGGUGACCAAACCAAACACUGCAGAGCCCCAUGCACAAACUGCUUCAAUUAAAUCCCUACCCUGGUUUCAUACACACAUGGAUCUUGUCUGACCUGGGGAAAGUCCACGGUUUUCUUUUCUAGUCAAGUGAGGAGCAAGUACGUGGGCAGACAGGUGAGAUGUGACCUUGGAGAGGGCAGGCAGAAAGAAGAGCACGAGAAGGGAGGGUUUGGGUGCUCCCUCUCCCCAGCACGUCCUGCAUUGCCUGGAAAAGGUCGGUGUGUGGCACCCAGCUGUAGCUCACAGCAGAGCACCAGCUCAGCAGUUCACGCUGACCUUGGCAGGAUUGCUGGGAGCUGCUUUUCACGCGGAUAAACUGUUCUUAGUAAUUUUUUUUCUGGUGGGAUGAGAUGGGAAGGGCUGCAGUGAGCAUCCGUGCUUGUAACAUCGAUCCAGGAGCCAGGCUGGGUUGUUCCUGGCACACAGGUGGAGACCAGGGACAAAACAGAGACCAGCGGAGCAGUGCCAGAUUCCUGCUAUGGUGUACUCCCACUUCCUUUACCUGCCGUUAUUUCUAUUUAAACGUGGGUUUUCGCUUAUUCACAAGAACGAAGGCAAAGCACAGCCAGCCAAGAGCAGAAUCCUUUGCUCGUAGCACCACAACCCUAAAAUCCCAUUCAGAGAGCCCCGGCUGCGGAGGAGCCAAGGUGGGAGGGUCUAGCACUGCCCGGGGGCAGCCCCGCAUGAGCCCAGCCGGUGGGAGCGGGACCGGGACCGGGACCGGGAGCGGUGCGGGCGGUGCGGACUGUGCGGAACCGGGAGAGCUGCGGGAACGCUGGGGGACCGGAACCGGGAGCAGUGCAGGAUCGGGACCGGGGGCGGUGCGGGACCAGACUGGGAUCGGGAGCGGGAGCGGCGCGGAACCGGGACCAGGAGUGGUGCGGGAGAUGCGGAACCGGGACCGGGACCAGGAGCAGUGCGGGCGGUGCGGAACAGGGACCAGGAUCGAGAUUGCGGGCGAGCUCGUUGGAUGA
rnacentral:lncRNA from 1 species